rnacentral:rRNA from 1 species
CCGAUAACUCUGGAAUAGCCUUUCGAAAGAAAGAUUAAUACCGGAUGGCAUACGAAUAUCGCAUGAUAUUUUUAUUAAAGAAUUUCGGUUAUCGAUGGGGAUGCGUUCCAUUAGUUUGUUGGCGGGGUAACGGCCCACCAAGACUACGAUGGAUAGGGGUUCUGAGAGGAAGGUCCCCCACAUUGGAACUGAGACACGGUCCAAACUCCUACGGGAGGCAGCAGUGAGGAAUAUUGGUCAAUGGGCGAGAGCCUGAACCAGCCAAGUAGCGUGAAGGAUGAAGGCCCUAUGGGUUGUAAACUUCUUUUAUAUGGGAAUAAAGUUUUCCACGUGUGGAAUUUUGUAUGUACCAUAUGAAUAAGGAUCGGCUAACUCCGUGCCAGCAGCCGCGGUAAUACGGAGGAUCCGAGCGUUAUCCGGAUUUAUUGGGUUUAAAGGGAGCGUAGGUGGAUUGUUAAGUCAGUUGUGAAAGUUUGCGGCUCAACCGUAAAAUUGCAGUUGAAACUGGCAGUCUUGAGUACAGUAGAGGUGGGCGGAAUUCGUGGUGUAGCGGUGAAAUGCUUAGAUAUCACGAAGAACUCCGAUUGCGAAGGCAGCUCACUAGACUGUUACUGACACUGAUGCUCGAAAGUGUGGGUAUCAAACAGGAUUAGAUACCCUGGUAGUCCACACAGUAAACGAUGAAUACUCGCUGUUUGCGAUAUACAGUAAGCGGCC